CAAGGGAACAUGUUCAUCUUGAAAGCACCUGGCAGGGAAGGCAUGGAUGGGGCUGGCUUGGUGGAAAGACCCCAUUUCUCAAACCCAGCUUUCUGCACAAAAUUAUUCAAAGGGAAACCUUAUCAAGCAGCCUUCUAGCUCAGUGUCAUCCAUCUUCCAAAGCUCCCCAGAAAACGUGCGAGUGCAGUUUUGCCAACUUCCGAGCAAUCAGUCGCAACGAUGAGUGAGUGUUGGUCUUCAUGGAAUCCAGAACAAAAGCAGAGCAACAUCCUCUUGGUUGUGUGUGUCAGCCACCUUCAUUGCCAAAGGAGACCUCAUAAGAACCUGAACGUCAACAUCAGAAGCAAGAAUCAGUGAGACCAUCUUUGAGCAACCCUCUGGAGGACAAAAUAUUACCUUGGCCACCACUUCUGAGGAUCUGAAGCUCUGAGAAGUCAAGUGACUUGCUCAAGAUCAUACAACUCGUUACAAGACAGAAAUGGGAUUUGAAUUCAGAUGGUCUGAUGAUGAACAAAGUCCAUACUUACAACCAUGAUAAAAGGACAAACAAACCCAAAUGCCUACAGGAUAUUAGACGCGAGGGAAUUGUGGGGAUGGUGGCAAACUGAAGAACUCCUGUCCUCUGUUCAGGAGGGUCCUGAUGCUCCUCACCAUCUGACUGUUGCCAGGUAGGGUCCUCUGAUUUUUUUCUAGGAGGAGCUGAGAAUCCAAAUCUUUACGUGGAAUCUCUUGAUUUUUCAUGGCAGUAAGUACUUUUUAUAUUUUGUAAGUCAUACAUGCCCACAAAUUGAAUUUAGUUUGUGGAUGUGUCAAUUAUGUUAAUUGAGAUUGUCAAUUUGACUGGAUGGAGAGACUCCUGGAGAGAUGAUUGGAUUGUGAGGGAAUUAACCUCAUUAGUGGAUUAAUUCACAGGUGAGGUCAUAGAUGAAUGGGCUAAGGAGGUGGAGCCUAGUUAGAAGAAGUGGGUCAUGGGAGAGUGACUUUGGGGACUACAUGUGGUCCUUAGUGCCUUCCUCUCUCAUUCUUCCCCUCUCUCUGCUUCCUGGGUGCCCUGAGUUGAGCAGUUUUCCUCCGCAAUGUACUUACACCAUGAUGUUUCUGCUUUGGAGCUGAAACCUCUGACCAUGGACUGAAACUGUGA